UCUGUUCCGGUGAAAAAAUCUGUAUAAAUUCUUACUUUUUCGCAACCUCCAGAAUAAGUCGAUAAGGGAUGGAUUUGAAAUUAAUUUUCACUGCCUGCGCUUUCGUGGCACUUUGCACUGUUUCUAUUGCCUACGAUAAGGAGAAAUGUGACGCUCCUCCAACCAAGCGAGGCGUUUGUACUGCCCGAUUUCGAAGGUGGGUCUUCAAGGAUAAGAAAUGUGAACGGAUUUCCUUCGGUGGAUGUUUUCCAACAGAAAACUAUUUUCGUUCACUUGAAGAAUGUGAGGCGUCAUGCAUUGAUUUAAUCGUAAAUCGUAUGGGAUAAAACAUAAAAUCCAUAAAUCUAAUCAAGUCCAUUUGGUUUUGAAAAACUUAACAAAUAAACUAGAUAUUUCUUAAAGCAUUGAA